rnacentral:rRNA from 1 species
CCUUCGGGGUACACGAGCGGCGAACGGGUGAGUAACACGUGAGCAACCUGCCCCUGACUCUGGGAUAAGCCGGGGAAACCCGGUCUAAUACCGGAUACGACACGCCACCGCAUGGUGGUGUGUGGAAAGUUGUUUCGGUUGGGGAUGGGCUCGCGGCCUAUCAGCUUGUUGGUGGGGUAGUGGCCUACCAAGGCGGUGACGGGUAGCCGGCCUGAGAGGGCGACCGGCCACACUGGGACUGAGACACGGCCCAGACUCCUGCGGGAGGCAGCAGUGGGGAAUAUUGCGCAAUGGGCGGAAGCCUGACGCAGCGACGCCGCGUGGGGGAUGACGGCCUUCGGGUUGUAAACCUCUUUUACCACUGACGCAGGCCCCCAUAUCGGUGGGGGUUGACGGUAGGUGGGGAAUAAGGACCGGCCAACUACGUGCCAGCAGCCGCGGUAAUACGUAGGGUCCGAGCGUUGUCCGGAAUUAUUGGGCGUAAAGAGCUCGUAGGUGGUGUGUCGCGUCUGCUGUGCAAGUCCGGGGCUUAACUCCGGUUUUGCAGUGGAUACGGGCAUGCUAGAGGUAGGUAGGGGAGACUGGAAUUCCUGGUGUAGCGGUGAAAUGCGCAGAUAUCAGGAGGAACACCGGUGGCGAAGGCGGGUCUCUGGGCCUUACCUGACGCUGAGGAGCGAAAGCGUGGGGAGCGAACAGGAUUAGAUACCCUGGUAGUCCACGCUGUAAACGUUGGGCGCUAGGUGUGGGGGCUUUCCACGGUUCCCGUGCCGUAGCUAACGCAUUAAGCGCCCCGCCUGGGGAGUACG